CUUCAGUCCGCAUUUAGACCUCAAGUCUUUCCCAGACAUUCACACCCUGCUGGACGAAGCUGCCUGCUGGUGCACGGAUUCUGCUCUCCGCCAGCGUCCUUUUUCACUUCUUCUACCUCCUGCCCCCCCCCCCCGUCCUGCUAGUGCUAUCUGACGUGCUCCGAGUGUCUGGGCCCCCCGUCGUAGUCCAGGUCUUCUCCCAUCGAUCUGCUGCCGGAGAGGCUCCUCUUGUCCAGACCAUGGAGCCUCUCGCAGAGGUCCCGUUAUUUGAGAUGGAUGAGGAAGAGGAUGUUCUUUCGAUGAAGAGCACGGGUGGCUGUGCGUAUGGCGCCCGUGCUCUCGCGCCCCCUGCGGGCGUCGACUCCGACGCGUUCAUAUACAUGAACUUCAUGAAGAGUCACUGCUGCUACGACGCCAUGCCCACCAGCUCCAAGCUGGUCAUUUUUGACACCACACUGCAGGUGAAGAAGGCUUUCUUUGCUCUGGUGGCUAACGGGGUGAGAGCCGCCCCCCUGUGGGACAACAAGCUUAAACGUUUUGUGGGUAUGCUGACCAUCACUGACUUCAUCAACAUUCUCCACCGUUACUACAAGUCUCCGCUGGUUCAGAUCUAUGAGCUGGAGGAACACAAGAUAGAGACAUGGAGAGAGAUCUAUCUGCAGUACUCCAUCAACACACUGAUCAGCAUCACUCCGGACUGCAGUCUGUUUGAUGCCAUCUACUCGUUGUUGAAGAAUAAGAUCCACCGGCUGCCGGUCAUCGACCCGGCGUCAGGAAACGUGCUGCACAUCCUCACGCACAAACGCAUCCUCAAGUUCCUCCACAUCUUUCGAUCCAAGAUCCCGAAGCCCGGCUUUCUUCAGAAGCGCAUCCACGAAGUGGAGAUCGGAACCUUCAAGCAGAUCGCCACGGUCCAGGAAUCGGCGUCCGUCUUCGACGCUCUGACCGUCUUCGUGGAGCGGCGCGUGUCCGCUCUGCCCGUGGUCAGCGAGCGAGGUAAAGUGGUGGCGCUGUACUCCAGGUUUGAUGUCAUCAACUUAGCGGCCCAGAAAAACUACAACAACCUGAACAUGACGAUGCGGGAGGCCGUUUCCUCCAGAGCCUGCUGCGUGGAGGGCGUCCUCAAGUGUUACCCGCACGAAACCCUGGAGACCAUCAUCGACCGCAUCGCCAAGGCCGAGGUGCACCGGUUGGUUCUGGUGGACGCUGACGAUGUGGUGAGAGGCAUCGUCUCCCUUUCUGACCUCCUACAAGCGUUGGUUCUCACUCCUGCAGGUAUUGACGCUCUGUGCUCCUGACGCCAACGCUUCCCUCGCCUCCUUGCUCUUUGCCCGAGUUCCCCCCCCCCCCCCCUGAAGAGCGUCCUUCUGUCCUCGUUCCAACGGGCCGACCUCCGCUCCCUGUUGGAAAGUGGAUCCUGCUGAGGACAUCGAGGCCUCUUCGCUGCUCCGUGGACAUUUCCUCCCCCUUCGACCUGAAGCGUCCUCGUUGGACGGGAAUGUUUUUCUCAAACCUCUGCUGGGAUCCACCGACUGUCCCUUUCUGUUCCUCACGUCAUCUGAAAGCUCGUUGAGAACUUUUCCCUUUAGUGAAACGUUGGACCUUUGAGCGUUCUGGAACGCGGUCUGCUUUUCAAAGAGUCCCCCCCCCCCCCCGCCACCGGAGGUCGCGCGCCACGAUCCAAAGCGGCGGCCGAAUGGCCCCUCGUGGUGAGAGAUAUUCACGAGGGAUCCCGCGGCCGAGACUGACCAACGAGGACCGGGAGCCAACAGGACGAUGAGUCCGUGCAAAGGAGCAGCGUCUCCCGGGGGGGGCGCUGGCUUCCCGAUCCCAGUCUGCCGCGUGAGCAGCGUCAACGUGCCCCCCGAGCAAGG